rnacentral:rRNA from 1 species
CAGAAAGACCCUAUGCAGCUUGACUACAGUUUGGAAUGGUAUUUAGGCUAUAUUCGCGCAGUAUAAGUGGGAGGUGUUGAUUCCUUUAUUUCGGUAAUGGCGUAACUGUUCUUGAGAUACCACUCUUGUAUAGCUCGAAUACUAACUAUAAUCCGUUUAUAUUUGGAUAUAGGAACAUUUCAGAUGGGUAGUUUGACUGGGGCGGUCGCCUCCUAAAGAGUAACGGAGGCGUACUAAGGUUCUUUCAGGCUGGACGGAAAUCAGUUGUAGAGCAUAAAGGUAAAAAAGGGCUUGACUGCAAGGCUUACAAGCCGAACAGGAGCGAAAGCUGGUCUUAGUGAUCCGGCGAUUCCUUGUGGAUGGGUCGUCGCUCAACGGAUAAAAGUUACUCUAGGGAUAACAGGCUGA